AGGACUGCAGUUCCUAACCAGACAGAAGGGACCUCUGGAAGAGGCCCGUGGUGAAGGCCCUACAGACUCUUAAUCCCUCCAAGGGCACAAAUAACCGUACUGCUGCAAUCAGGAUAAGCAGGUGACGCGGGGCUGAUGCAGGACUGUUCGGGCUGGGGCCAGGUCCAGCCUGGAGUGCUGUCUUCGCUGACUCCCCAUCUCAGAGCAUGUUUGAUGUCUUCAGUGGUGACAGCAGGACCAGAAUUUUCUGCCUAGAGCUGAACACCAGGAAGUCCUGGAAACUAAACUUGGGUCCUGCUGACCUUCAAAAGCAUUCAUCCUCCUGGACAACGUGUGAUGCCUAUAACCGGCACCGGCCUUCCAAGCAUCUCCACCCAGAGUCCCCCAUAGGCUCUGGGCAAUCCUGGGGAGAGACCAGUGAUGGGGACGCCUCCAUAGAGUGAUGCAGGACACAACCAGCUAGUAGGUUUUCUGCUUCGUGGAGAGAAGUCCCAGACAGAUGAUGGGAGGAGAAGAAAGGAAGGGGGAAUAAACAAAGAAAAAGAAAAGUAUCUACACACUGCUCCGUUGUGCUCUUGUCUCUUGAUGGGGACCCAGCC